rnacentral:misc_RNA from 1 species
GUUGCAUUGUUGUUGAUGACAUUCGUCCAAAGGUGACGUGGUGUCAUGUCGCUUCCGUAUCCUAGUUUUGAGCUUUUUGAGCUUAAAAACAUGGAUAAUCGCUUGGUGAUAGACAUCACUCCCUUGGUUGAUAAAAGUCGUCCAAUGAUGUGAUGGCUUGUUUCCUUUGUUCUCGCAUCGCUCGGUGCAUUCUGUGGUCAUUUUGGCUAUUAGCGGCUUGCUUGGCCAUUGGGCUUGGUGGGUGGCUAAUAGUUUGGGUGUCUUCGGGGAUGUCUACCGUAAAGGUGCAUGAGUGGUGUUUGGUUUGUUACGGGUGGUUGGCUCUUUGCUUGCGCAACAACUUCCACCUGGCAUACCUCUUCAGUCUUGUGUCAAUGCUUGUAUUGCAUUGAAUGCACGCCGGGUUUCUUGUGUUGCAUGCCUAAUCAAUGGUAUCGUUUGAUGAAUAGGUUUCCCUUUCGUCUUGCAUCGCCUAUGCGAUGUGAGAUGAACCUUGAAGCAGCCUUUUUGAUCUACACUUUUGAUGCAUACGCAUUGAUUUUGUGGCCCAUUAAGUGUUGCUUGGUCUCAUGGAUAUGGAACAUGGUGUGGGCAUGGAAUCGUAGUGGUUCCUUGUUUGCCCAAGUUUAGCUUAUCUAAAMCGAUUUGUCUAUCA